GGGGACGUAGCUCAGCGGAAGAGCACCUGCCUUGCACGCAGGGGGUCGCCGGUUCGAAUCCGGUCGUCUCCA
rnacentral:tRNA from 1 species